rnacentral:miRNA from 1 species
AUCGUUUCGAGCCGCUCUAGU